rnacentral:rRNA from 1 species
AUUCCAGCUCCAAGAGCGUAUAUUAAAGUUGUUGCAGUUAAAAAGCUCGUAGUUGGAUUUCUGGUACAAUGCGCCUGGCCCGCGACGGUUACGUCUGUGAGUGCCGGUGCGCGUUUGCCAUCCUUCUAGAAAACGUUUCUACCCUUCGCUGGGCCGGAUUCGCGAUCUAGAUCUUUUACUUUGAAAAAAUUAGAGUGUUUAAAGCAGGCUUUUGCUAUGAAUACAUUAGCAUGGAAUAAUAAUCUAGGACUUCGGUUCUAUUUUGUUGGUUUCUAGUACUGAAGUAAUGAUUGAUAGGGAUAGUUGGGGGUGCUAGUAUUGAGCGGCCAGAGGUGAAAUUCUUGGAUUCGCUCAAGACUAACUUAUGCGAAAGCAUUCACCAAGGAUGUCUUCAUUA